CGCGGGAAGCGAGUGGAUCCCUUCGGGGUGAAGCUCGUGGAACGAGCGGCGGACGGGUGAGUAACACGUGGGCAACCUGCCUGUAAGACCGGAAUAACCCCGGGAAACCGGGGCUAAUGCCGGGUAAUACUUUUCUUCGCAUGAAGGAAAGUUGAAAGAUGGCUUCUUGCUAUCACUUACAGAUGGGCCCGCGGCGCAUUAGCUAGUUGGUGAGGUAACGGCUCACCAAGGCGACGAUGCGUAGCCGACCUGAGAGGGUGAUCGGCCACACUGGGACUGAGACACGGCCCAGACUCCUACGGGAGGCAGCAGUAGGGAAUCUUCCGCAAUGGACGAAAGUCUGACGGAGCAACGCCGCGUGAACGAUGAAGGUCUUCGGAUCGUAAAGUUCUGUUGUUAGGGAAGAACAAGUACCGUGCGAAUAGAGCGGUACCUUGACGGUACCUAACGAGGAAGCCCCGGCUAACUACGUGCCAGCAGCCGCGGUAAUACGUAGGGGGCAAGCGUUGUCCGGAAUUAUUGGGCGUAAAGCGCGCGCAGGCGGUUCCUUAAGUCUGAUGUGAAAGCCCACGGCUCAACCGUGGAGGGUCAUUGGAAACUGGGGAACUUGAGGACAGAAGAGGAGAGUGGAAUUCCACGUGUAGCGGUGAAAUGCGCAGAUAUCAG
rnacentral:rRNA from 1 species